AUCCUAGAUACAAUGGACUAUAUUUAUUCAUGUUGCCUAUAUCUGUCUGCAAGCUCACCAGCCAUUCCCUCCAUUUGGAUUUUAGUAGAUAUAAUGGACUAUAUUUACUCACGUUGUCCACAGCCUAUUUGAAGAGAUUUCUCUUUUAGUUCAUUGGUAUGAAGUUGUUGUUUCAUAUAUAUCUAUGCAAUAGCAGUUUGAUGUAGACAAAUAUGCAUGUCAUGGCCUUCUAUUCUUGUCCUUUUCAUGUUUAGAGAUCAGCGCACUCAUUAGAUUAAAUUUUGAUAUUGCAUCUUUAAGCACUUCCUGAGAAUUUUAGAACAAUGUACAAGAUUUUGGACGAGGUUCAUCUGCGUCAAUGUUUGUGGCUGGGUCGCUGGGUACACAAUCCAUUCACCGUGUAAGGUUCAGUCAACUCCUUUGAGGUGCUUAACAAGUAACGGAGGUUUUGGUGUCACAUGUACCCAGGGAAAGGGUGUAAAGACUAUACAUGUCAAAUCCUCAUAUGAAAUGUUGAUCUGUUGUGCUUCUAGAAUUAUGGAUUUCUGAAUAAUUAAAUGACCAGUUAUGCAAUACAAUAUUCCCAUAGUAUUGAAAUCUUCUAUUCUUCAAAGUGUCCUUCAGAAAAUGGCACUUGCACUUAAUAUGGGACACUCCAAAUCCAUAUGUGCAGGCUAUAUAUGAUAUUUUCUCCAUAAAGAGUCAGCAAUGACUUGAUUUAUAUUUCCGCUACUUGUCAAUACGAUGGCCCGCUGGAAAUAAAUGAUGUUUGGCCAUCACUUAUACUUGGGAACUACUUUUCAGUGAUAGCUGUGUUGACUAAGAGAACUACGGCGGGCUUACGCUUACCUGAACUAUAUUCAAAACUAUCAGAGUGUACAGUGGAUUAGAGCAGAUUACAUCAGCCUUAAAGCAGACUGUUGGUCAUUAACGGUUAUCUAUGGCACCAGAUUCUUAAAACAAUUCACCUCACAACACUUGUUGGCCAAAGAAGUUGAGGAAUUAAUGAUGUGAUAGGAGUUGUGUGCUGAGGAGAAACUAUUCUCUUGCAAAUCGGAUAGUUGUUGUAGGAAUUAAAAAGGCACAUGAUUGUAUUGUUGUUGUGGGAUUUUGUUUCUACAUGUUCCUCGACCCUAAUGUCUACAUGAGGUGUGAGUUCAACGGAUCGUGGAAAUUACAUUACUAAUAGAAAGAUGCCGCAGCAAAAAGAAUGCUCUCAGCCUUGGACGAUCCGUUCACUCGAUUCUUGAAACCAUUACCUUUUCUGAAGGGUCCUCGAGGAAACUCAAUAGAUGGCUACAGAUGUUGCUAGGGGUCUUCGAGGAAACCCAAUAGAUGGCUUUUUCCUGAAGUUCUCCAUUGGUGCGGCGGGGCUCAGAGGGAUGGCCAGGCGGCGGCCAGCAACGGCGGGUUGGGGAGGUCAAGAGGAAGGUGUGGCAGAGAGGCGGCGCACGAAAGUUUGCAGUACAUUACACAAUUUUGUUUGCUAUUCAGUAACUAAUGCUAAAGUUUAUUCCUACAACUUCUACAUGAACAACUCCCUGUUUACUAAAGGCAAAAACUCAUCCUUGAGCCUUCCUGCAAAUGUGGGCUAACACACAAUUCACUUCAUGCCUUGUUCAUAACAUCAUAUUUCUCAACCUAAUGGCAUCUGCCAAGGAUCUCAAAAGCUGAUGCGUUCAACUUGUGUUUUUGUCGUGUGUUCAACAUGUAAUGUCAUUUUUGUAGGCUAAUUUCACUUUCGAUGAUCUCACGAUAAAGCGACCAUGGAACGAGAAGGUGAGCUAAAAAUCAUCUUGUUGUUUAUUGUUGCAAAAUUUCCUGUAUGUGUAUCUAUAGCGAGAGCAU